rnacentral:rRNA from 1 species
ACGGGAGGCAGCAGUGGGGAAUAUUGCACAAUGGGGGAAACCCUGAUGCAGCGACGCCGCGUGAGUGAAGAAGUAUUUCGGUAUGUAAAGCUCUAUCAGCAGGAAAGAAAAUGACGGUACCUGACUAAGAAGCCCCGGCUAACUACGUGCCAGCAGCCGCGGUAAUACGUAGAGGGCAAGCGUUAUCCGGAUUUACUGGGUGUAAAGGGAGCGUAGACGGUAAGGCAAGUCUGAAGUGAAAUGCCAGGGCUCAACCCUGGAACUGCUUUGGAAACUGUCCUACUAGAGUGCAGGAGAGGUAAGUGGAAUUCCUAGUGUAGCGGUGAAAUGCGUAGAUAUUAGGAGGAACACCAGUGGCGAAGGCGGCUUACUGGACUGUAACUGACGUUGAGGCUCGAAAGCGUGGGGAGCAAACAGGAUUAGAUACCCUGGUA